rnacentral:rRNA from 1 species
UGGGGAAUUUUGCGCAAUGGGCGAAAGCCUGACGCAGCAAUACCGCGUGAGUGAAGAAGGCCUUUGGGUCGUAAAGCUCUUUUCUAGGGGAAGAUAGUGACGGUACCCUAGGAAUAAGCACCGGCUAACUCCGUGCCAGCAGCCGCGGUAAUACGGAGGGUGCAAGCGUUGUUCGGAUUUACUGGGCGUAAAGGGCACGUAGGCGGCAUAGCAAGUUAAGGGUGAAAUCCCGGGGCUCAACUCCGGAACUGCUCUUAAAACUGCUAAGCUAGAGAUAGUCAGAGGCGGGUGGAAUUCCAGGUGUAGAGGUGAAAUUCGUAGAUAUCUGGAGGAACACCGGUGGCGAAGGCGGCCCGCUGGGGCUUAUCUGACGCUGAGGUGCGAAAGCGUGGGGAGCGAACG